UCCAGGCUGUGGAGGCUCAGAUCCUUUCUACUGCAAAGCAGGGAGCUGAUAAUCCUCUGCAGGGUCAUCCAAGCUGCUGAAGUGCCAGGCUUUGGCUGCUCCCUCGGUUCCCAUGAGUGCAGAAGUAAAACAAAACAUCUCCCAGUGCUUGGCUGAGCAGAGUGACAUUGUGCACCUUAAAGGGCUUAGCUGUAGCAAAACGUGAUUCAACUGCUUUGUCUCUAGGGGGUACCUUCAUCCCUUCUUGCUCCGCUCUGAAGACCUGGCAGAGAUUGGUUUUACUUCUCUUCUGUCUUGAAAACAAUAGUAAAAUUCCUGAAAAGGAGGAGAGCGUGUACAUGCAUGCAGAUGUGCUUGGGGAAGGAGACAGCUGAAGCUGUGAAGCUGGGAUAAAGGGAGGCAGCCCAGGGCUCGCCAAACUCCUUGGCAUGCCUGUAAGAAAACAGAACGUCCAUCCAACGUGUCUGUGGAGCUGGGGUCUGGUGAAGGAUCGUGGCAGAAGCACGGUGUGUCUUGGAUGGAUGCCCAAGAAAACUCGGAAAGACCCAUUCCCUCUUGGUUCUGCACCUCUUUUUUUCAAAUGUGAAGAGGACACGUGGCUCCUGACACGUUGUCUAACCAGCUUGGUUUUAUGUGCUACUUCAGUCAGGAAAUUAAUCAGGAAAAAAAGAUAAGGGAACAUUAUGCUAUUCAGAGUAAAUCACCGUGUUACACAAUGCUGCUCCCAUUGCCUAGGUACAGCUGUUUAAGAAAAUGGGCUGGCUUGAGGGCUUCCUUCUGAUUGUCUAAUUAAACUUCCAACCUUUGCAAUUAUGAAAAUAACUGUGUGGUUAGAACUACUUGUAUAUGCUAUAGGUAACUCCUGAAUUAGCUAGAAAGAGAAUAAGACAUUUGCCUCGAGAUCUUACUCUGAGAUUUCACUUGUGCACUCUGUGCUACUCUGCAUUGAAAUAGUAUCUCUAGAAAAAAAUCCUAACUUAUAAAUGCAACUACUGUGAUAGCUGAAACUAGAGGUCCAUUGGUUGCAACAUCCCAUUUGCAGCAACGCCCAGUUAAAAAAUGUCUCUGAGGAACGUGCAAGAGAGCAGAUAAGACACGAACCAGUUGGGGUUUUGCAUCCUUAACGAUCAGCUUUUGCUUUAAAAUCUUUCCUUCAAACACAGCGUAGCAAUCAGAACAUAAUGCUUUAUGGCAGAUAGUUCCACUCAUUAACUGUGCUCUGUGUUAAUGUUUUCUCCUAAUUAUUUUCAUGUUCCCUGGCUUGCACAUAUACAUCUUCAGCUAUUAUAUGAGAAUAUAAACACAGAUUUU
rnacentral:lncRNA from 7 species